rnacentral:rRNA from 1 species
CGCUUAACACAUGCAAGUCGAACGGCAGCACGGUCUAGUUUACUAGAUGGGUGGCGAGUGGCGAACGGGUGAGUAACGCGUAGGAAUAUACCUUAAAGAGGGGGACAACUUGGGGAAACUCAAGCUAAUACCGCAUGCACUCUGAGGAGGAAAGCUGGGGACCUUCGGGCCUGGCGCUUUAAGAAUAGCCUGCGUCCGAUUAGCUAGUUGGUGGGGUAAAGGCCUACCAAGGCGACGAUCGGUAGCUGGUCUGAGAGGAUGAUCAGCCACACUGGAACUGAGACACGGCCCAGACUCCUACGGGAGGCAGCAGUGGGGAAUAUUGGACAAUGGGCGAAAGCCUGAUCCAGCAAUACCGCGUGAAUGUUGAAGGCCUUAGGGUUGUAAAGUUC